rnacentral:tRNA from 1 species
GGGGAAAUAGCUCAGUUGGUAGAGUGCUUGCCUAGCAUGCACAGAGCCCUGGGUUCAAUCCCCAGAAUCACCA